rnacentral:rRNA from 1 species
UACGAAGGGACCUAGCGUAGUUCGGAAUUACUGGGCUUAAAGAGCUCGUAGGUGGUUAAAAAAGUUGAUGGUGAAAUCCCAAGGCUUAACCUUGGAACUGCCAUCAAAACUUUUUAGCUAGAGUGUGAUAGAGGUAAGUGGAAUUUCUAGUGUAGAGGUGAAAUUCGUAGAUAUUAGAAAGAACACCGAAAGCGAAGGCAACUUACUGGGUCACUACUGACACUGAGGAGCGAAAGCAUGGGUAGCGAAGAGG